CCUACGGGAGGCAGCAGUGAGGAAUAUUGGUCAAUGGGCGCGAGCCUGAACCAGCCAAGUCGCGUGAGGGAAGACGGUCCUAUGGAUUGUAAACCUCUUUUGUCGGGGAGCAAAAGACGCCACGCGUGGCGUUCCGAGAGUACCCGUAGAAACAGCAUCGGCUAACACUGUGCCAGCAGCCGCGGUAAUACGGAGGAUGCGAGGGUUAUCCGGAUUCAUUGGGGUUAAAGGGUGCGCAGGCGGAAGAUCAAGUCGACGGUAAAAUUGAGAGGCUCAACCUCUUCGAGCCGUUGAAACUGGUUGUCUUGAGUGCGCGAGAGGUAUGCGGAAUGCGUGGUGUAGCGGUGAAAUGCAUAGAUAUCAGGCAGAACUCCGAUUGCGAAGGCAGCAUGCCGGCGCUCAACUGACGCUCAGGCACGAAAGUGUGGGUAUCGAACAGGAUUAGAUACCCCGGUAGUC
rnacentral:rRNA from 1 species